rnacentral:rRNA from 1 species
CCUACGGGUGGCAGCAGUGAGGAAUAUUGGUCAAGGGGCGGAAGCCUGAACCAGCCAAGUAGCGUGCGGGAUGAAGGCCCUACGGGUCGUAAACCGCUUUUGCACGGGGAUAACACACGCCACGUGUGGAGGUCUGCAGGUACCGUGCGAAUAAGGGCCGGCUAAUUCCGUGCCAGCAGCCGCGGUAAUACGGAAGGCCCGAGCGUUAUCCGGAUGCAUUGGGCUUAAAGGGAGCGUAGGCGGGCGUUCAAGUCAGCUGUCAAAUCGCGCGGCUCAACCGCGCCCCGCAGUUGAAAAUGGCCGCCUUGCUUUCACAACAGGCAGGCGGCAUUCGUGGUGUAGCGGUGACCUGCCUAGAUAUCACG